AGGAUAUUAGUUAAAUUUAUUAUAACAUUUAUUUUGCAUAUAAAAAUUAUUUUAUUAUAAAAAUAUAUCUUU
rnacentral:tRNA from 1 species